UUGGAAGAUCAGGGCCUGUCAGGAGGUA
rnacentral:piRNA from 1 species